rnacentral:lncRNA from 12 species
CAGAAUUCUAAUUUGUUAGCAUCAUGAAUUUUAACUUGAAUUAAGAUGUAGAGAAAACCGCGAAAUUUGAAAUGCCCAAACCACCAUCUGUUGUUGUUAUCUCAGAUUUACGUUGAGAACGUCGGCCAUGGGUGUGCGCUGCCAGGUGAAAUGUCACAGUCCCACCUUCUUUAGACAUGAUGGAAAAAAACUGAAAAGCAGAAGCUGCUGCUCAGAAUGCAUGAGUCAGGAUACAACAUAUUGCAGAGAAGUCUUUAUGAUUACUUUUGAGCAACCUGCUGCUUUAAGAGCCACAUCUAUACAUAUUGAUAAGGGUGAUUACAUUACUUUUUGUUUAUCUGCACUUGAACUAAUAACCUAAUGCUGGCUAUUGAGUUUAACUUAGUGGUGGCUGGAGUCCCAUGGGAAAAAAAAAUCUAAGGUAUCCUGAAACAGAUUUCUCAGAAUGUUUCCUUAUCAUGCCGGAAGUCAGCUACACUCACACUCAACACCUUCUCUCUGCCCUCAGGGCCAGCAGCUGUCUAACACAGCCUCUGGCAAAGCACAGGGCAGAACCACUUUGCUCUCUAAGUGCUAAGUGACCCUCUCUGCAGAGGGUCAGCUGAGGUGUCAUUGCAUCCUGGGGCUGAGGCAGAACCAGACAGUGACAAUGCACAUCUGCCCUGUCUUUCUCUAUGCUGCAGAGUUCAUCACCAGACCUGUGUGCCACACACACACACCUGGACCCAGCCAGAGUUCAGCAGUGGACCUGAGCUGACUCCUGUUCUCUGGCUCCACAGCAGUGAGAAACAGCCCAGAGCCUAGGUGCAGCUGCUCAAGCCCCCUUGUGAACACCCAUUGUUUACUUGUGGGCCGGGUUUGGGGUUUUUUCCAUCUAACAAAAAAUCCCCUUCAG